rnacentral:rRNA from 1 species
CACAACGACUCUCGGCAACGGAUAUCUCGGCUCUCGCAUCGAUGAAGAACGUAGCGAAAUGCGAUACUUGGUGUGAAUUGCAGAAUCCCGUGAACCAUCGAGUCUUUGAACGCAAGUUGCGCUUGAAGCCAUUAGGCUAAAGGCACGUCUGCCUGGGCGUCACG